UGGGGAAUAUUGCACAAUGGGGGAAACCCUGAUGCAGCGACGCCGCGUGAACGAAGAAGGUAUUCGUAUCGUAAAGUUCUGUCCUAUGGGAAGAUAAUGACAGUACCAUAGAAGAAAGCUCCGGCUAAAUACGUGCCAGCAGCCGCGGUAAUACGUAUGGAGCGAGCGUUGUCCGGAAUUAUUGGGCGUAAAGGGUACGCAGGCGGUUUAACAAGUCGAAUGUUAAAGAUCGGGGCUCAACCCCGCAAAGCAUUGGAAACUGAUAAACUUGAGUAGUGGAGAGGAAAGUGGAAUUCCUAGUGUAGUGGUGAAAUACGUAGAUAUUAGGAGGAAUACCAGUAGCGAAGGCGACUUUCUGGACACAAACUGACGCUGAGGUACGAAAACGUGGGGAGCAAACAGG
rnacentral:rRNA from 1 species